UUUGCCAAACAACCAUUAUAUCUUGGACUCCAUUGUCAGGUUUCCAUUUCACAGGUAUUCAAACCACAUACACAAUAAUUAUCAGACCAGAGAGCAAUCGAAAUUCAUCCAAAACAACACUACAUUAGUCUAUUACAAUCAUUACAAUAUACUACAAACCAGAUAUGCCUACUACUGCCUACAAUUACAACACAUAAUAUGCUACUACUUGUUGAUAUGCUUCACAGCUUCGGACUUUGAUUCGCACUUCACCUGUGCAAAGAAUAAGAAUGAAAAUAUAAGAAUAAGAAUGUGUAUAGAACAUCAAACAAUAGCCAAUGAGGAAUCCAACAACUUAUAAGCAAGAAUUGACAGCAAAUGUCAUGUAGAUAAAUAGUAUGACUAACACUAACCAGUUUAUGUUCAUGGAGUGAAAUGUUCUCACUAGCUAGGAUGUUUUUGGUAUAUAGUAUACUGACAUGUGCAACUCUAACUAAAUUGAUCAUAGAAAUGAAAAGAACUGUAAGAACAAGUUCAUUCAGAAUCCAGGCAUGUCAAAUUUUAAGCACCAAUAGAACAGAUCUAGCAAACCAGACUAUAAUCAUCAUGCAUCAGGAUUUAUGGUUCUAGCAAAACAGUAAGGAGACAGAGAUAAACACAUCAAGCAUACCAGCUACUACAGCAGUAGAAAAUAAACAUUGAUGGAUUACCCGCCAUGCAUAGACCAAUCAGUAACAGUAGCAACAGUAGGUAGUAGAAGAAGCAGAAGAGGGAGGGCCCUGUCUUGCGAGGAACUCCCCUUAUUGCAAGAACCACAAAAUAGCUGGUGGAGCACGGCCGCUGCAAAUUGUGGUUAAUUCGCCCUGGUAUGUAGUCAGUACUAUCCAAGAAUACAUGAAUGAUAUAUAUAGUAAACAGACAGUGUAGGGAGCACUGCAUAAAUGUAUAUGUAAGAUAAAAAGCACUGUGUAACUAUAUGAACUCUUUCGACUUCUUCGUCAUAGUGCUCGCGACGAAACAACAUGGUUAGAAACAAAAUAAAAUCACAUCUAACAACAUGUCACAAACAGCAUCAUAAAGACAACAAUGGGGAUGCCAGAGCUGAAAGGAGCAAGUUAUUUUGUAUUUGAGAAACAAAAAAAUGCACCAAAAAUUUCUCAAAAGAUAACUUAACUUGUGUGCAUUCAUUUAGACAGAUUCAAGUGCUUGGACUAUACACAUUAAUUAGAACAUGAUCGCAAGACACCAAUAUAAGCUUAGAAUUCACAAGUACACAGUAAUUGGAAUCACUUUGUAGUUAUCCGCCUAAGCCAACACAGAAGUACAAUGCUUGUGAUACAUGGAGCAAGAAAAAUAGGCAAUGUGAUGACAGUAUGAGCGCACAAUAAUUCUGGGAGUAAAACGAACAUAAAUAAUACAACAAUCUCUGUAACACCUAGGUAGUAACUAGUAUGGUUGCUUGCUGUUCAUGAGUGUCAAUCAUCUGCAUGUGUGUACAUCAAAAAGAAAACAGCAGGAUUCAAUUCAUCUUGCCCAUAUACAGCAACCAGUAGACAUCUAACAUCAUUAGAUUACCACAAAAGAAAAGUCCAUAAUUCCCAAAAAGUUUCAAAUUGGCUUUGCACUAUUGUUGUCAGCAUGAUAAAUUGAUAUGCACUGUUGUUGUUGCCGCUGUUAAACAAAUCACUACUGCUACUCCUGAGAGCAAUUCCUACUCCAGGAGAGAAAGUUUACUCCUAGGAGUAUACUGGAAAAGUUUACUCCAGUAGACAAAGAGAAGAGAAAGAGAAACUUAACAGCAGCAGCAAGUCCUAUACUACUGUUGUCCUACACUAAACUACUGCAACCAGUACUGAUGCAAGCUUAACAGUAGCAGCAAGUGCUAUACUACUGUUGUCCAGAAUACACUUAAAUGAAAAGAUUCAUUUAUUUUCAUAAGUACUGAUGCAAGCAAUAGACUACACAAAUCCUUCAUUAAAGGAGUACUCCAAUUCAUCUUUAAAAAAGUUUACGCAAGCAUUAAAGGAAUAGUUUCAGUUAAUUUUAAAUACUCCAGCAGCAAAUACUGCUAACACUAAUAGGCUAGUAGAAAAUACAGCAUUUUUGGAAUGUUAACAAAUGUUCAGUAAUUUAUGGUGUACAACAACAACAUCACAUUAAGAAAGUGAGCUAAAUUUUAUAGUGCACAGGAUCACUGGUUGUGCAUAGAAUCACAACAUUUAUGGUGUAUAGCAGCUGCUAAAAGGUCUUUGGAAGUGUAUGUCAGCAGACAAAAUGGUAAUUAUUGUACUCUGCUAUUUUACCUACUAUACACAAAACAGAUUAAAUGUCCAUGGACAAUUCUAGCAAACGCAAAAAUAAGAUGAUCAGUUGGGAUCAUUUCUAAUUUUGCUUGCUCGCACACCAACCACAAACGUGAUCACAACCAAGUAUUUAACCAGUUUGCCGCCAAGUUUAAGUUACUACUAACCGGAAGUGAAUAAUCAAUUAUUAAAGAUAAUGAAGUUAAUUGAACAAUUUUUACACAUGUAUAAUGGCGUGAAUAGAGCAAUAGAGUAAUGCCCAAUCCUGACACAUGUAUAAUGGCGUGAAUAUGCAAGUUAGACCUAGAUGUUACUAACAAGUGUUCUUUGCAUAAUUAAUGAAUAAGUGUAGUAUUUCUGACUAGCCAGAAUCAAUCUUUGUGCAUACAUCCUGCCAUGUUGUUCCUUGCCAAGUAAGCUCCCAAAAGCAGUAUUAAUAAAAUUGAAACAGAAUAACACAUACAGGACUACAGGAACCACAACAAGAAAUUUUCUAUUGCGAGUAAGAUGCUUGUCGUUGUCCAUUUGCUCCCACCAAGUCAAUCUAUUAUACAUCCCCUGAUCAUCAACAAAUGGAGUUCCCUUCUUCCAGUGGAAGAAGUGGUAUGUAAUCUAAAAUGAAGAUUCAAUUAGGAAAGCAAUGACAAUAGACAAAUAAUUUAUAGAUAAUAUGUUUCAUGCUAUAAUCUUAUGAGAAAAAAAGCAAUAAUUUGUACUUCCAGAAUUGAGGUUGGGCCAACUAGAACUGCAGUAUUUACUGCCAUAAUGAUUUCAUGAAUUUUGCAACUACAUUAUUAUAUUUAAAGUAGCAAAACAAUGAUUAAAUGCAAGCAAUUUAUUUGGAUAUUAUGAAAAAGUAAACCUUCAAACUAGAAUACACUUUAUUAGUUGGCAGGAUUGGCGAAUGUGUCGUAGCAAUUUGUAGCUAGGGGAGGCGAAGGGUGGGCAGAUGUGAACGAUCUACCCCAAUUCCUAACUACAUGAAGCAAGCAAUCAAGGUAAACAAACACAAACCGCAAGCCUUCAGAUCCAUGGGAGUCGAGGACGUGUAAGCGAGGGAGGGAGGGGAGGGGGAGAGGCGGGUACCAUGAAGUGGCCAAGGUUGACGAGCGUCCAGGCCAUGCCUCCACAGCCAUGUCCUGCUCCACCUUGACCUUCUCCCAGUUGUUCUUCUUGUUGUACAGCCGGCACAUUACCCAUUCGUCCAG
rnacentral:lncRNA from 1 species